rnacentral:rRNA from 1 species
UACGGAAGGUGCAAGCGUUGCUCGGAAUCACUGGGCGUAAGGGUGCGUAGGCGGCCGUGCAAGUCUGGCGUGAAAGCCCCGGGCUCAGCCCGGGAAGUGCGCUCGAAACUGCGCGGCUCGAGUGCCGGAGGGGAGAGUGGAAUUCCUGGUGUAGCGGUGAAAUGCGUAGAUAUCAGGAGGAAUACCGGUGGCGAAAGCGACUCUCUGGACGGCAACUGACGCUGAGGCACGAAAGCAUGGGGAGCGAGCAGG